UACAGAGGGGGCAAGCGUUGUUCGGAUUUACUGGGCGUAAAGGGCGCGUAGGCGGUCAGCACAAGUCAAUUGUGAAAUCUCCGAGCUUAACUCGGAAAGGUCAACUGAAACUGUGCGACUAGAGUGCGGAAGGGGCAACUGGAAUUCUUGGUGUAGCGGUGAAAUGCGUAGAUAUCAAGAGGAACACCUGCGGCGAAGGCGGGUUGCUGGGCCGACACUGACGCUGAUGCGCGAAAGCCAGGGGAGCGAACGGG
rnacentral:rRNA from 1 species